GCAGAGUGGUGCGGCGAUCGCUAUAUUCCGUGUCAAUAGUUGCGUGCAGUGCAGGCGAAGGCAACGCCAGGCGAAGAGAGAAAGGGCGAGCACCACGAAGGCGGGACGGGAGAGGAGAGCGAGGGGAGAAAGAGAGCACUAGGAGCUUUACAGAGGAGAGGAGGAUUCUCUCCUCCUUCCCAGCCUUCCUAGUGCUUGCCCUUUCUACCCUCGCCUGGCGUUGCCUU
rnacentral:SRP_RNA from 1 species